AGUGAACGCUGGCGGCAGGCCUAACACAUGCAAGUCGAACGGCAGCACAGUGGAGCUUGCUCCAUGGGUGGCGAGUGGCGGACGGGUGAGGAAUACAUCGGAAUCUGCCCAGUCGUGGGGAUAACAUAGGGAAACUUAUGCUAAUACCGCAUACGACCUACGGGUGAAAGCGGGGAUCGCAAGACCUCGCGCGAUUGGAUGAGCCGAUGUCCGAUUAGCUAGUUGGCGGGGUAAUGGCCCACCAAGGCGACGAUCGGUAGCUGGUCUGAGAGGAUGAUCAGCCACACUGGAACUGAGACACGGUCCAGACUCCUACGGGAGGCAGCAGUGGGGAAUAUUGGACAAUGGGCGCAAGCCUGAUCCAGCUAUGCCGCGUGGGUGAAG
rnacentral:rRNA from 1 species